rnacentral:snRNA from 1 species
CCAGCUCUCUUUGCCUUUUGGCUCUGAUCAAGUGCAGUAACUGUUCUUUUCAGAUUAGUCUUCUGAAAGGGCCCUACGGGGUUCCGGCGAUUAUUCAGUUUUUGGAACCAGCCUGGGAGGCUCUGAGCUCCGCUUAUCCUCCUGGGCACAGUGUCGCCCUUAUUGCACUGCCUGGGGCUGACGCGAACCUUCU